CCCCGUGAUGAUACCGGAGGGGUUAUACCUCUUCCCAUCCCGAACAGAGCAGUCAAGCCCUCCAGGGCCGAUGAUAGUUGGACCGCAAGGUCCUGCAAAAGUAGGUCGUCGCGGGUA
rnacentral:rRNA from 2 species